AUAGCUUUCCUAAAUUUUUAUUUAUAUAUUAAAUCGAAGAAUAUAUAUUAUAUUUCUAAUUAUGACAUUAAACAAUUGUAUACAGUGUGGUGGCGAGCAAAAAUAUAAGUGUCCAACUUGUCGUGAACCAUAGUAGUUGUUCGGUACAGUG